GGCGGAGCGGGGGGGGGGGGGGGGCGGGGGGGGGGGCGCCUGGGGGUCGCGGAACCCGGCGCAGGAAGCCCCCGGCAAGGUUUUCGAAGAGUCGGCACGAAGCGGAGCGGAGGGAGAGUCCGUCUACACUGGUGGGGCGCCGGGCGGCUCCGUCGGCCCGCCGUCUGCCUUGGACUCGGGUCGUGACCCCAGGGCCCUGGGCUCGAGCCCCGUGUCGGGCCCCCCGCUCGGCGGGGAGACUCUGCUUCCCCCUCCGCCUGCCCCUUCCCGGCUGGUGCCCUCGCUCGCUCGAGAGCUCGCUCGAGUGAAUGAAAUCUUUGAAAAGAGCGAGUCUGCGUUGGUUACGUGGUGAAAUGACAGCUGCUGAAGUUAUUUUUCGGUGUUUCGGUGUUUGCUUCUUUUAACUCGACGUAGCCAACGAAGAUGUGGGGUGACGUGCGUGACUGGCGCUGGAUUUCUCUUGGUCGCGGACCCGGACCGAGAAGCCAGGUCCUGGCCUUUCCCGACUGCAGGACAGUCCGCGGACGCACCUCCGCCAGUUCUCUCGUGAGACAAGAAUUGGGCUGCGUGUGUAGCUUGUGAGAUCCUGCUCAGUGGGGCCGAGGUCUUCUGCCUCUGCAAGUGUGUGUUGGAUGAAUGACAACCAUGGGAACUCUCCAGGGACCCCCUUUUGUCACCAUAGAAACUCCAGGAAUCUUCUCUUUGGUGUGAUCUUAAUGGAUCCUUGGUGAUCCCCAGCUGACAAACCCUCACUAGAUCCUCAGGGCUCCUUUGUUGCAUAGCCUGAUGAGCUCUUCCGGGAUCCUGUCCUUACAUGACCUCAGGGAAUCUCCAGAGAUCUUCCAAUAAGGUUUCAGUGGAUCCGCAGGGACUCCCU